rnacentral:rRNA from 1 species
GACGAACGCUGGCGGCGUGCCUAAUACAUGCAAGUUGAGCGCUGAAGGUUGGUACUUGUACCAACUGGAUGAGCAGCGAACGGGUGAGUAACGCGUGGGGAAUCUGCCUUUGGGCGGGGGACAACAUUUGGAAACGAAUGCUAAUACCGCAUAAAAACUUUAAACACAAGUUUUAAGUUUGAAAGAUGCAAUUGCAUCACUCAAAGAUGAUCCCGCGUUGUAUUAGCUAGUUGGUGAGGUAAAGGCUCACCAAGGCGAUGAUACAUAGCCGACCUGAGAGGGUGCUCGGCCACAUUGGGACUGGGACACGGCCCAAACUCCUACGGGAGGCAGCAGUAGGGGAUCUUCGGCGAUGGACGAAAGUCUGACCGAGCAACGCCGCGUGAGUGGAGAAGGUUUUCGGAUCGUAAAACUCUGUUGGUAGAGAAGAACGUUGGUGAGAGUGGAAAGCUCAUCAAGUGACGGUAACUACCCAGAAAGGGACGGCUAACUACGUG